GAUGAACGCUGGCGGCGUGCUUAACACAUGCAAGUCGAACGAAGCAUUUUAACUUGAUUUCUUCGGAAUGAUUGUUACUUUGACUGAGUGGCGGACGGGUGAGCAACGCGUGGGUAACCUGCCUCAUACAGGGGGAUAACAGUUAGAAAUGACUGCUAAUACCGCAUAAGCGCACGGUAUCGCAUGAUACAGUGUGAAAAACUCCGGUGGUAUGAGAUGGACCCGCGUCUGAUUAGCUAGUUGGUGAGGUAACGGCCCACCAAGGCGACGAUCAGUAGCCGACCUGAGAGGGUGACCGGCCACAUUGGGACUGAGACACGGCCCAAACUCCUACGGGAGGCAGCAGUGGGGAAUAUUGCACAAUGGGCGAAAGCCUGAUGCAGCGACGCCGCGUGAACGAAGAAGUAUUUCGGUAUGUAAAGUUCUAUCAGCAGGGAAGAUAAUGACGGUACCUGACUAAGAAGCACCGGCUAAAUACGUGCCAGCCGCCGCUGUAAAAC
rnacentral:rRNA from 1 species